rnacentral:lncRNA from 1 species
UCCAGGAGGACAUGCAACCAGUGUCCUUUUCAGAGAUGGGGCACCUACAGGGGAAAAGCAAUGCAGAAGAGCACCUAAUUCAGAACAAGUCAGUUCCUGUUUCCAGGUCAGAGUUGAAAGUAUCAAACUCCCCAGGCUCCGCUCGCUCGCUCGCUCGCUCGCCAGUGACUGUGACCACAGGCGUCUAUUGAAAUUCUCUGCAAGCAAAGUAACACAUGUUGCUUUUCCUAGCAGUGGAAGUCUGAAAGACUCACUUUAGAAACUUUGGCCGUGCCACUAAUUUGCUGAUAAAUGAUUGCCUACGAGCUGAGGUGGAGAUCCAGGAACCGAACUGCAGAAGUGAAGAUCCCUCUUUAUGCAGACGACGACCAU